rnacentral:rRNA from 1 species
GACGAACGCUGGCGGCGUGCUUAACACAUGCAAGUCGAACGGAAAGGCCCCUUUGGGGGUACUCGAGUGGCGAACGGGUGAGUAACACGUGAGUAACCUGCCCUUGACUUCGGGAUGACUUCAGGAAACUGGGGCUAAUACCGGAUAGGAAUCCUUGCUGCAUGGUGGGGGUUGGAAAGCUUCGGCGGUUUUGGAUGGACUCGCGGCUUAUCAGCUUGUUGGUGGGGUAGUGGCUUACCAAGGCUUUGACGGGUAGCCGGCCUGAGAGGGCGACCGGCCACAUUGGGACUGAGAUACGGCCCAGACUCCUACGGGAGGCAGCAGUGGGGAAUAUUGCACAAUGGGCGGAAGCCUGAUGCAGCAACGCCGCGUGCGGGAUGACGGCCUUCGGGUUGUAAACCGCUUUCAGCAGGGGCGAAGCUUGUGGUGACGGUACCUGCAGAAGAGGCACCGGCUAACUACGUG